GAUGAACGCUAGCGACAGGCCUAACACAUGCAAGUCGAGGGGCAGCAUGAAAUUAGCUUGCUAAUUUUGCUGGCGACCGGCGCACGGGUGAGUAACACGUAUGCAUCCUUCCUGUAAGCGGGGGAUAACCCGGAGAAAUUCGGACUAAUACCGCAUAAUAUCAUUAAUUCGCAUGUUUUAAUGAUUAAAAAUUUCUUUCUUACAUAUCGGCAUGCGUAUGAUUAGCUAGUUGGCGGGGUAACGGCCCACCAAGGCGACGAUCAUUAGGGGUUCUGAGAGGAAGGUCCCCCACAUUGGAACUGAGACACGGUCCAAACUACUACGGGAGGCAGCAGUGAGGAAUAUUGGUCAAUGGACGAGAGUCUGAACCAGCCAUGUCGCGUGAAGGAUGACUGUCCUAUGGAUUGUAAACUUCUUUUAUAUGGGGAUAAAGUGUGAGACUUGUCUCUUUUUGCAUGUACCAUAUGAAUACGCACCGGCUAACUCCGUGCCAGCAGCCGCGGUAAUAC
rnacentral:rRNA from 1 species